UACGUAGGGUGCAAGCGUUGUCCGGAAUUAUUGGGCGUAAAGAGCUCGUAGGCGGUUUGUCGCGUCGAAUGUGAAAUCCCGGGGCUCAACCCCGGGUCUGCAUUCGAUACUGGCAGGCUAGAGUUCGGUAGGGGAGUCUGGAAUUCCUGGUGUAGCGGUGAAAUGCGCAGAUAUCAGGAGGAACACCGAUGGCGAAGGCAGGUCUCUGGGCCAUAACUGACGCUGAGAAGCGAAAGCAAGGGGAGCGAACAGG
rnacentral:rRNA from 1 species